rnacentral:tRNA from 1 species
GGAGAGGUGGCUGAGCGGUCUAAAGCAACAGGUUGCUAACCUGUGACCGCGAAAGUGGUCCGUGGGUUCGAAUCCCACCCUCUCCGCCU